UGGCCCACCCCAGUGCUUCCCAGGAGGCCCUGUGUGGUCCUAUGUACCCCUUCCUCCUGGGAACUGAGAGUAAUAAAUGAUCUUUCAAUGGCAAUUGUCUCCUUCCUCUCCCGGUUCCAGGAGAAGCCGAGCAGAAGCCAACUUUUGCCUUGGCUGAUCCCCUUUGUCUAGAACACUUUUCCGCCCAGAAGUUUGUGUGACUUCCUCUUUCUGAACAUUUAGGCCUCAGCACAAACAUCAGCCCCUCAGAGGGGUCUCUCCUGACCACCCUACUUGGUACGUAGCACUAUUUAAAAGCAUGUUCCUCAUGUGUGUGUGGGUUCUUCAGGCUCCCACCCGCCUCUGCCCCACAAUGUGCUUUCAGGAGAUCGGGAGCUUGCUCUGGAGAUGUAUCUAGAAUACCUGGACCAGCAACAGCAUCAGCAUAAGGCAGUGUGGCUGCUUAACAAAUACCAGCUCGCUUCACUGCCCUUUCAGAUUCUUCUAUUUUCUACAGUUCCUGAGAUGCACACUCCCCAGUCUGUAGGUUUGGGCCCUCAUAGUGGAUUCCCCGUGGAUCUGUGACCUUUGCCUGUGAGCUCAUCUUUAAAGAGAAUUUUCUUCCGUGUGAGUCCUGGAUGCCUCUGUGGGAGGCCGUGUUUUGGACCCUGAGGGGUCCAAUGAGCUUCCCUGGUUCUCACAUUGAUAUCUCAGCCUCAGGGAGCAGGUGGAAUUUGGAACACACAGUCCUGCGUGGUGCAGACCCAUUGACAGUUUUGACUCCUGGCUUGACUGAAGGAGCUCAGUUCUCACGGCAUCAGAGGCCUGGGAGCUCAGCUCUAGCCCCCGGGCAGGUGUUGAAACCCAGAGUCCUCACGCUUCUCUCUGGUUCAGAUGCCCUUGGUCGGCGUGGCCCCUAACCCUUUGCUGCCUGAAGUGUAGCGUGUGAACCUGCUGUGUCGGUAUCGCAUGCGAUCACAUGCGAGCUUGUUAGAAAGGCUAUAAAGAUGUUUUUGUAAAAGAAAGCAAUGAUUAAGAAACUGCAGGCACUUGAGGAUUGCCAUUAAUCACAAGUUUCUCUGGAAGAUGACAAAUCAGUUUUUUUGGAAGUGGGAGAGGAAAGAACACAUGAGGACAUAAUUUUAUAUGAGAUUUUGAAUAAUUUUGUGCAUGAAACAAAGUUUUGACUGAGACCCAUCAUAUAAGGUCAUGUGUGAAAUUUUCUACUUGUGGUGUCAUUGGUCUCAUUCGACAUGGUGAGAUCCUGUCUCUAAAAAACAACCAACCAAACAAACAACCGUUACUUUUCCCCUAACACCUUAAUGAAGAAUGCUUACAAGCUACUCUUGGCAACUAGAUAUACUUUGUCGAUAAGCAGAGAGAAAAAGCACAUUGCGCUUCCCAGGGUAGACACUUUAUGUGACGGAGGAGGAAGGCCUGAGGGAGUGGGGUGUGGGGGUUUGAUGUGUCACGUGGCGGGGCUGCAGUCUUAGGCAUUUGCUCAAACAGGAACCCCGGUGCUGCCAGGAGAGAGCUGACUUUGAGCGAGGGGCUUCUAGAUAAUUUGGGUGGGUCUCGCCUCAUCUGUUGAAAGACCUGAACAUAGGGCCGAGGCUUCCUUGAGGAGGAAGAAGAUUCCACCUGUGGACGGCAGUGCCCGCCCCCAUGCCCUGGAGUCCUGAUGGCUGGCCCUCCCGCUGGCCCCUCAUGGAUGUCAGCCUGGCCACCCCUCACAGUCGUGUGGGCCAAUUCCUCGCAGAAAAUCUCUAAAUAUCUCCUGUUGUUUCCUCUUCUCUGGUUGAACUCUGAGGCGGAGGUCAGGAGGU
rnacentral:lncRNA from 10 species